UAGCUUGUAUUGUUGUGUCCUACAAAUUCUCUUUUGUCCCGAUUGAGCUUCCUUUGCGUUCAAUUAUUUGUGUUGGGCCAAGAAUUAAUAUGGGCUUAGCCCCUUGGAUUUUUGGCCCUCAACAAUAGCCCCAUUGAUUAUUGGGGCUAUGAGCAAAUAUUGAGAUGGGUCAAAUAAUCAAACCCGUCCCAAAAAGAAAAAAUCAAACCCACGUUGUUGACGUGACCUUUUCGUUUCUCGCGUGUGUGCUGCCAUGAUUAUCUUCCAAUAGUCUUGCAUAUUCCCCAGGUAUGCUUCCAUCAAAUCCAUUUUAUUUUAUUAAUUUUUUUAUUUCCUUUUCUUUCUUUCUUCUUUCCGUUUCUGAUUUUCUCCUCUAUGCGUGCAAAACCAGAGCUACCUACCUCUUUCCUUUGGUUAUUGCUAGUUCAGGUCUAGAGAACCUUUGAGAAUGAGGAAUCAAAGGGAGGCAUCAUCCAUAACCGCUAGUUGGUCAUCACUUAAAUUGAUUGUUUCCAAUUGCUCAGCUACUGCCAUCGAUCCAUCUUGCACGUGAUUGGGUGCUAUCAUUGGCUCUUGGAAAGCACAAGGCAGGGAGGGGUGCCUUGUCAUCUGGACUCCUACGGUUGCCUGCUUGCAUAGCUUCUCCUCCAUACUCGGGGCUCUCCCGUAGGAUACGGUUAAGCCCCCAACCCCGUCAUAAGCGGUACACAGUGCACCCAUCUGGCAGCAUCACCUUCGAGCA
rnacentral:lncRNA from 1 species